rnacentral:lncRNA from 1 species
GACCUUUCACCCCGGCGCGGCGAACACCGCCGCUCUUGGCCCGCCUUGCCCGGCGACUCGAUGGUUAGGCGGUCUCAUGGCGGCCCCGCUAACGGCCUCACUGGUAAGUUAACGCGGGCUACAGGGCACUUCCGCCUUCAGUCAGCAUGGCGGCCCGGCACCUCCCCGCCCCUUGCGGUUGGUUGCUUCGCGGUGACGGAGCGUGGGGGCGGGCUGCACGUGCGGCGCCUCGGGUGUUGCGCUGACCGUUAACGACCGCGGCGGGUGCCGCCCUCGGAGGUGACAGAAUUAGCAACAUCUGUGCUGUCUUCAAAUGAUGGCAGAUCUAACUGAAGGAUCCCAGCAUGAGUACUUGCAUGAACUUCUGGUUUAUUUCAAGACAGUCUUGAAGAAUCUGGCGUUGCUACAAGCUGUGCUUCCCUUCAUCUGCCCUGGAAUACUGUAAAAGAAACAUGCUAUUGGGAGUUGCAGAAGCUGGUGAAAUUUACCAGGAGACAAAUGAAGUAGUUGAGUAUUCAAAGAGAAGAAUUACUGAUAUCAUUUAUCAGCUGGACUUCGUUCACCACUUGUCUCAACUCUGUAGACUGAAGAGUAUCAAGAAGCAAGAUCUCAAAAUUCUCACCAUUCUUCAGGCACUAAAACAAAUAUUCUUUCUUUGAAAAAUGUGCCUAUGAAAAAUUCUGGCUGAUGGUAACAGAAGCUUGAAUCUUGUCUUUGCAACGCUUUCAUGCCAUUGACUAAUAGUGGUGGUAAAAGUUUCAC